rnacentral:rRNA from 1 species
GAUGAACGCUGGCGGCGUGCCUAAUACAUGCAAGUCGAGCGAACAGAUAAGGAGCUUGCUCCUUUGACGUUAGCGGCGGACGGGUGAGUAACACGUGGGUAACCUACCUAUAAGACUGGAAUAACUCCGGGAAACCGGGGCUAAUGCCGGAUAACAUUUAGAACCGCAUGGUUCUAAAGUGAAAGAUGGUUUUGCUAUCACUUAUAGAUGGACCCGCGCCGUAUUAGCUAGUUGGUAAGAUAACGGCUUACCAAGGCAACGAUACGUAGCCGACCUGAGAGGGUGAUCGGCCACACUGGACCUGAGACACGGUCCAGACUCCUACGGGAGGCAGCAGUAGGGAAUCUUCCGCAAUGGGCGAAAGCCUGACGGAGCAACGCCGCGUGAGUGAUGAAGGUCUUCGGAUCGUAAAACUCUGUUAUUAGGGAAGAACAAAUGUGUAAGUAACUGUGCACGUCUUGACGGUACCUAAUCAGAAAGCCACGGCUAACUACGUG